CAGGUAGAUCGUAGUGACCUGCGGAGGAUCAUUAUCGAGUUUUGACCGGGUUGUAGCUGGCCUUCCGAGGCAUGUGCACGCCCUGCUCAUCCACUCUACACCUGUGCACUUACUGUGGGCUUCAGAUUGCGAGGCACGCUCUUUACCGGGCUUGCGGAGCAUAUCUGUGCCUGCGUUUAUCACAAACUCUAUAAAGUAACAGAAUGUGUAUUGCGAUGUAACACAUCUAUAUACAACUUUCAGCAACGGAUCUCUUGGCUCUCGCAUCGAUGAAGAACGCAGCGAAAUGCGAUAAGUAAUGUGAAUUGCAGAAUUCAGUGAAUCAUCGAAUCUUUGAACGCACCUUGCGCUCCUUGGUAUUCCGAGGAGCAUGCCUGUUUGAGUGUCAUGAAAUCUUCAACCUACAAGCUUUUGUGGUUUGUAGGCUUGGACUUGGAGGCUUGUCGGCCGUUAUCGGUCGGCUCCUCUUAAAUGCAUUAGCUUGGUUCCUUGCGGAUCGGCUCUCGGUGUGAUAAUGUCUACGCCGCGACCGUGAAGCGUUUGGCGAGCUUCUAACCGUCUUAUAAGACAGCUUUAUGACCUCUGACCUCAAAUCAGGUAGGACUACCCGCUGAACUUAAGCAUAUCAAUAAGCGGAGGAAAAGAAACUAACAAGGAUUCCCCUAGUAACUGCGAGUGAAGCGGGAAAAGCUCAAAUUUAAAAUCUGGCGGUCUUUGGCCGUCCGAGUUGUAGUCUGGAGAAGUGCUUUCCGCGCUGGACGAAAAA
rnacentral:rRNA from 1 species